UAGGCUUAGGGCUGAUUGAUCUCCCUCUC
rnacentral:piRNA from 1 species